AGUGGGAUAGCUGGGUUAAAUGGUGGUUCCAUUCCAAAUUUUUAAAGGAAUCUCCGUACUGCUUUCCAGAGUGAUUGCACCAAUUUGUAGUCCCACUAGCAAU
rnacentral:pre_miRNA from 1 species